GACGUAGGGCGCGAGCGUUGUCCGGAUUUAUUGGGCGUAAAGAGCUCGUAGGCGGCUUGUCGCGUCGGCUGUGAAAACCCGCGGCUCAACUGUGGGCGGGCAGCUGAUACGGGCAGGCUGGAGUUCGGUAGGGGAGACUGGAAUUCCUGGUGUAGCGGUGAAAUGCGUAGAUAUCGAGAGGAACACCUGCGGCGAAGGCGGGUUGCUGGGCUGACACUGACGCUGAGGCGCGAAAGCUAGGGGGAGCGGACAGG
rnacentral:rRNA from 1 species